GGCCUGAUGGUCUAGUAGCAUGAUUCUCCGUUUGGGUUUUCCUGAGUUCGGAGAGGUCCCGGGUUCAACUCCCGGUCAGGCCC